rnacentral:misc_RNA from 1 species
GAUGAAGAACGCAGUGAAAUGCGAUAAGUAAUGUGAAAUGCAGAAUUCAGUGAAUCAUCGAGUCUUUGAACGCACAUUGCGCCCCCUGGUAUUCCGGGGGGCAUGCCUGUCCGAGCGUCAUUGCCGCCCUCAAGCACGGCUUGUGUGUUGGGCCCCCGCCCCCCGGCUUCGGGGGGCGGGCCCGAAAGGCAGCGGCGGCACCGCGUCCGGUCCUCGAGCGUAUGGGGCUUCGUCACCCGCUCUGUAGGCCCGGCCGGCGCCCGCCGGCGACCCCAAUCAAUCUUUCCAGGUUGACCUCGGAUCAGGUAGGGAUACCCGCUGAACUUAAGCAUAUCAAUAAGCGGAG